rnacentral:rRNA from 1 species
GAAUUGCUGUAAUGGCAGGUCAGCAUACUGCCGUGAAUACGUUCCCGGGCCUUGUACACACCGCCCGUCACACCAUGAGAGUUGGGAAUACCCGAAGCCUGUGAGCUAACUUAUAGAGGCAGCAGUCGAAGGUAGAAUCAAUGAUUGGGGUGAAGUCGUAACAAGGUAUC